rnacentral:rRNA from 1 species
UACGGAGGGGGCUAGCGUUGUUCGGAAUUACUGGGCGUAAAGCGCGCGUAGGCGGCUUCGCAAGUCAGAGGUGAAAGCCCGGGGCUCAACCCCGGAAUUGCCUUUGAGACUGCGUCGCUAGAAUCCGGGAGAGGUGAGUGGAAUUCCGAGUGUAGAGGUGAAAUUCGUAGAUAUUCGGAAGAACACCAGUGGCGAAGGCGUCUCACUGGACCGGCAUUGACGCUGAGGUGCGAAAGCGUGGGGAGCAAACAGG